UUGAUUUUAAUUAUUUGUGAAGGUACUACUAAUUAACAACAAUUUUAUAAUCAAAACAAAAAAAAUCAAAACUUUUAACAAUGGAUCUCUUGGUUCUCGUAUCGAUGAAGAACGCAGCGAAACGCGAUAUUUCUUGUGAAUUGCAGAAGUGAAUCAUCAGUUUUUGAACGCACAUUGCACUUUGGGGUAUCCCCCAAAGUAUACUUGUUUGAGCGUUGUUUCUCUCUUGGAAUUGCAUUUGCUUUUCUGAAAAAAUCGAAUCAAAUUCGUUUGAAACUUACAUUUAUUUCAACCUCAGAUCAAGUAGGAAUUACCCGCUGAACUUAAGCAUAUCAAUAAGCGGAGGAAUCGAUGCCUUGGUCAUUUAGAGGAAGUAAAAGUCGUAACAAGGUUUCCGUAGGUGAACCUGCGGAAGGAUCAUUACAAGAAACGAGGCCGCGUGCGCUCGCCCGCCCGGCCCCGCUCCUUACCUUGCCUACUGCACCGUUUGUUGCUUCCUGGCGGCGGACUGCCCGCCGCCAGGGACGUUGAUACAACCCUGUAUAGAAGCAUUGAAGCUCUGAGAAAAUGCGAAAUCGUA
rnacentral:misc_RNA from 1 species